UGGCAACAGCGUGGCUUGGUAAACCCCAUCCGGAGCAAACGCAAAUAGGAGCGCCAUGGUGUGGCCCGCACUGCGCUCGGGUUGCGCGCUAGAGACCGGUAGCAAUGCCGGUAGUAGAUAAAUGGUUGUCCGCGACAGAACCCGGCUUACAGGUCCACUUUGCAU
rnacentral:RNase_P_RNA from 1 species